rnacentral:rRNA from 1 species
CACGUAGGGUGCGAGCGUUUGUCCGGAAUUAUUGGGCGUAAAGAGCUCGUAGGCGGUGUGUCGCGUCGGCCGUGAAAACCUGCAGCUUAACUGUGGGCUUGCGGUCGAUACGGGCAUCACUGGAGUUCGGCAGGGGAGACUGGAAUUCCUGGUGUAGCGGUGAAAUGCGCAGAUAUCAGGAGGAACACCGAUGGCGAAGGCAGGUCUCUGGGCCGAAUACUGA